CCUACGGGAGGCAGCAGUGGGGAAUAUUGGGCAAUGGAGGAAACUCUGACCCAGCGACGCCGCGUGCGGGAUGAAGGCCUUCGGGUUGUAAACCGCUUUCAGUAGGGAAGAAGCGAAAGUGACGGUACCUACAAAAGAAGCACCGGCUAACUAUGUGCCAGCAGCCGCGGUAAUACAUAGGGUGCAAGCGUUGUCCGGAAUUAUUGGGCGUAAAGAGCUCGUAGGUCGUUUGUUACGUCGGAUGUGAAAACCUGAGGCUCAACCUCAGGCCUGCAUUCGAUACGGGCAAACUAGAGUUUGGUAGGGGAGACUGGAAUUCCUGGUGUAGCGGUGGAAUGCGCAGAUAUCAGGAGGAACACCAAUGGCGAAGGCAGGUCUCUGGGCCAAUACUGACACUGAGGAGCGAAAGUCUGGGGAGCGGACAGGAUUAGAUACCCUGGUAGUCCAGACCGUAAACGGUGGGCACUAGUUGUGGGAACCUUCCACGGUUUCUGCGACGCAGCUAACGCAUUAAGUGCCCCGCCUGGGGAGUACGAUCGCAAGAUUAAAACCUUAAGGAAUU
rnacentral:rRNA from 1 species